rnacentral:rRNA from 1 species
AUUGAACGCUGGCGGCAGGCCUAACACAUGCAAGUCGAGCGGAUGAAGGGAGCUUGCUCCUGGAUUCAGCGGCGGACGGGUGAGUAAUGCCUAGGAAUCUGACUGGUAGUGGGGGAUAACGUCCGGAAACGGGCGCUAAUACCGCAUACGUUCUGAGGGAGAAAGUGGGGGAUCUUCGGACCUCACGCUAUCAGAUGAGCCUAGGUCGUAUUAGCUAGUUGGUGGGGUAAAGGCCUACCAAGGCGACGAUCCGUAACUGGUCUGAGAGGAUGAUCAGUCACACUGGAACUGAGACACGGUCCAGACUCCUACGGGAGGCAGCAGUGGGGAAUAUUGGACAAAGGGCGAAAGCCUGAUCCAGCCAUGCCGCGUGUGUGAAGAAGGUCUUCGGAUUGUAAAGCACUUUAAGUUGGGAGGAAGGGCAGUAAGUUAAUACCUUGCUGUUUUGACGUUACCAACAGAAUAAGCACCGGCUAACUUCGUG